GAGUAGCUGAGAUUACAGACCUGCACUGGAAGAAAAGCAAAGUAUGCUCUUCAAGAUGAAAGGAAAUUACAUAAGAGAGAAACUUGGACCUCUAAGAAAGAAUAUAGAACAUCAGUAAUGAGACAGGGUCUUGCUCUGUUACCCAGGUUACAGUACAGUGGCACAAUCAUAGCUCACUGGAGUCUUGACCUCUUGGGCUCAAGUAAUCCUCCUGCCUCAGCCUUCUGAGUAGCUAAGACUACAGGAGCAUACCACACCCAGGUCUUUGAACCCUUGUGCAGUUUGGGAUACAGCGCACACCAGAGAACCCUAUUGUGAAGUGCACAUGCAAAGGGUCUAAGUUGCACACUCC
rnacentral:lncRNA from 13 species